rnacentral:ncRNA from 1 species
ACCAAGGAGUCUAACACGUGUGCGAGUCCGGGGCUCACAGGAAAGGUACCGUGGCGCAAUGAAGGUGAAGGACCGUCAGGGCCGAGUUGGGAUCCCGAGGCCUCUCCAGUCCACCGAGGGCGCACCACCCGCCCGUAUUGCUUGCCUUGCCGGGGAGGUGGAGCAUGAGCGCACAUGUUAGGACCCGAAAGAUGGUGAACUAUGCCUGGGCACGGCGGAGCCACAGGAAACUCUGGUGGAGGUCCGUAGCGGUCCUGAUGUGCAAAUCGGUAGUCCGACCUGGGUAUAGGGUUGAAAGGCUAAUCGAAUCAUCUAGUAGGUGGCUCCCUCCGAAGUUUCCCUCAGGAUAGCUGGCGUUCUCGCAAACACAGUUUUAUGCGGAAAAGCGAAUGAUUAGAGGUCCUGAGGCCAAAAUGAUCUCAACCUAUUCUCAAACUUUAAAUGGGUAAGAAGCCCGGGUGUAGAAUAGGAGUGCAUGGUGGGUCACUUUUGUUAGGCAGAACUGGCGCUUCCGGAUAAACGGAGCGCCGGGUUACGGCGCCCUAUGCCAACGCUCAUCAGACCCCAGAAAAGGUGGUUGAUAGAGACAGCAGGACGGUGGCCACGGAAGUGGGAAUCCGCUAAGUUGUGUGCAACAACUCACCUGCCGAAUCAACUAGCCCUGAAAAUGAAUGGCGCUGGAGCGUCGAGCCCAUACCCAGCCCUCGCUGGUGGUCGGUCAGAGACAGGGGAACCGAGCAAACCGGGCUGCACUUCGGCGGCGCCCGGCCCACACCCACGCCAAGCUACCCCACGACGACUAGGAGGGCCGCUGCGGUGAGCCUUGAAGCCUAGGGCACAGCCCGGGUGGAGCCGUCACAGGUGCAGAUCUUGGUGGUAGUAGCAAAUGUUCAAACGAGAUCUUUGAAGGCCGAAGUGGAAAAGGGUUCCAUGUGAACAGCAGUUGAACAAGGGUCAGUCGGUCCUGAGAGAUGGGCGAGCGCCAUUCUGAAGGGACGGGCGAUGGCCUCCGUUGCCCUCAGCAGAUCUAAAGCGAGUCGGGUUCAGAUCCCCGAGUCCGGAGUGGCGGAGAUGGGUGCCACGAGGCGUCCAGUGCGGUAACACAACCGAUCCCAGAGAAGCCGGCGCGAGCCCCGGGGAGAGUUCUCUUUUCUUUGUGAAGGCCAGGGCGCCCUGGAAUGGGUUCGCCCCGAAAGAGGGUCCCAUGCCUUGGAAAGCGUCGCGGUUCCGGUGGCGUCCGGUGAGCUUGCGCUGGCCCUUGAAAAUCCGAAGAGGUUGUAAAUCUCGAGCCUGGCCAUACCCAUAUGCUCCGGGGGUGGGACGGGGGUU